GUUGCACCAAAGAAGCCAGAAAGGGUGCCUCAUACUAGUAUGAGAUGUUACCUGUUAGAAUGGCUAUUAUGGAAAGACAAAUGGGAGCAAAUGUGGGCAAGGAUGUGGAGUGAAGGGAACUCAUGCACGAUGCUGAUGGGAUUGUAAAUUGGUAAGCCAUCAUGGAAAACACUAUGGAGGUUCCUUAAAAAAUUAGAAAUAGAACUAAAUGCACAAGCCAGCAAUCCCAUUUCUCGGUGUGUAUCCAAAGGAAAUUAAAUCAGUGUCUACAUACAAUGUUCAUUAAAACUUUAUUCACAAUCGCCUAGGUAUGCAAACAACCUAAACAUCUGGUUAAAGAAAAUGUGUGUGUGUGUGUGUGUGAUUUAACAAUGGAAUAAGUGCUCAGAGAUGUGUUGUUACUUGAUUUCAUUGUUGUAUAAAUCAUAAAGUAUACAUAUACACACUAAGAUGGCUAUGAUGUCACUAGGUGAUAUAAUUUUAUGAGACCCCUGUGUAUAUGCACCAUUGACCAAAAUGUCAUUAUGUGUUUUAUGAUUUUGUGUGUGUGUGUGUGUGUGUGUGUGUGUGUGUAGGGGAGGGGGUGGAAGAGAGAGAGAUGGAAUACUAUUAAACCUUAGAAAGAGUCAGGGGGGUAAAAAAUAAAAGCCUGCCAUUUGGGACAACUUGGAUAAACCUGGAAAAGGUUGUUAGAGGGCAAAGAGAGAGUAGAAAAGAGAGCCAUUCAAAUGGAAAGGAAACAGAAAUGAAAGGGAAAGUUAAAUAUUCACUUUCUAUUGAAUCUUUUUUUUUUUUUUGGCAGGGGUGCACUGGGGAUUGAACUCAGGGGCACUCAACUACUGAUUCACAUUUCGAGCUAUAUUUCAUAUUUUAUUUAGAGAUAGGAUCUCACUGAGUUGCUUAGUGCCUUGCCGAGCCUGGCUUUGAACUUGUGAUCCUCCUGUUUCAGCCUCCUGUGCCACUGGGAUUAAGGCUUGAGCCACCGUGCCCAGCUUUAUUGGAUCUUUACACUCUUUUGGACAUGCUGUCCUUUUCCAUAUGUCUUCUCCUUAAAAGGAGAUUUCUCUGCAAGGAUGGUGAAGUGUCUUAGAAGUCUGCAUUUCCCAAACCUUCCAGCACUAUUUUAUGCAGACUUGAUUUGGUAAAUAUUAGAGAAAGAGAAAUUAAGAGAGCUGUGAUUUAAAAUAUUUUCAGUGGGCUUUCUACAUCUUUUCUGGGAUAGCUGAUUGCAAGUUUCACAAGAGCCUAGCACAGUGUCAAUAAUGCCACAAUAAACAUUCAUUGAUUAACUGAAGUGUACACUACAGAGAAAAAUAAAUGCGGUCCUCUCAAAGCCCUAUUGUCUGGCCCCCACCUUACCUCCAAGCAGUAGAAAUGUUUAAAUAUGCUUUUUGUUGUUUUAUAGCCAUUUGCAUUUAAAUUGGGUGUGUCACUGUCACGUUUUAUUAGCUAUUCCUCAUACCAGUCCUGUGAGGUUAGCACUGUUAUCUGCAUUUUACAGGCGAGGGCACUGAGAGGUGAAGCAACUUGCCUGGGAUCAGAUGGUACAAUGAGCCCCUGGAAGCAGUGGAUUUUGGUGCACAGGACCCGCCUCCCAGCCAGCAAGGCUAGUCCAUAAAACUCUGUGGCUGGGAACACAAUAAAGAACUGUGGCUUUUCUGCAGUAGACUUCAAAAGUCAUUUUAAUUGCAUUAAUUCAUAUGAAAGAAUUGAGUUAGGAUUGCAUUUCUUUGGAUGGAUUAUUUUCUUGUGAGCAGAUAGUUUGUUGUUGUUGUUGUUGUUGUUUUAGUAGGUACUUGAUUGGGCUGCCUAGACCCAAGAUCCUUGAAGGAAGACGCUCGCUCCAGAGAUUCAUCCCCAUUAAUUCCUGACCAGACACUGGGCCUCCCAGAAGUGUCUCUCCUUGCAGCAGUCUCCCCACAGAGCCCAACCAUGUAGCAUAACCCCUAAGCAAUAUUUGAAUUAGAGUAAAUAAAUUUUAUGAAAUAAAAAAGUAUUUAGAACGUAUCUAAUUAUAAAAAUUUUAACAUGGUCCAAGAACUUCCUAAAAUUGAAUGCACAGUAGUCUCCCCUUAUCUGUGGGAGUUAUGUUCCAAGAUCCCCAGAGGAUGCUUGAAACCACAAAUAGUACCAAAUCCUAUAUAUACUAUGUUUUUUUCCUGUACA
rnacentral:lncRNA from 1 species